UAAGCUAAAUAUUUAAACCAGAGCAAUAAUAACAAUAUUCUAGAGUUAUUUGUUUGUUUCGAUAUUAUUUCAUUAUUAUUAUCAUUAAUAUUAUUGUUUCAAUAUUAUUUGCUAUAUGUAUUUGUUUUAAAGUAAUCAAAUUGAAGUGAAGUUACAUCUUCAAACCAGGGCAAUAAUAGGUAUUCUAAUUAAUAUUUUUUGGAAUUCAUCAAACGUUUCGGAUAUUGUUUCAAUAUUAUUUGCCAUAGAUUUGUUUUAAAAUAAUCAAAUUGAAAUUAUGCCUAAUCUUCAAACCAAGGCAAUAAUUACAUUCUAGAGUAUACGCAGAAUAGAAUAGUUAUAAUAUUAUGCUCACUAAUUUAUUAUAAACAGUAUAGAAGCAUAGAGUAACAAUAGCGUAAGUAGAUAUCCCAUGAUAUAGGGCGUUUAUGUCGCAACUUUUACUGUUAUCUCAGGCCGAUUACUGUCGAUUAUUGUCGAUUUUUACUGUUUUAACCGGGUAAGAGUGUAUGAACGGCACAAUAUGAGAGACUGCCAGCGUCAUAAAGCUUCACAGGGAAGAACUACGUGGACUAUCAGCUUGAGAUAACAGUAAAAGUUGCGACAUAAACGCCCUAUAUCAUGGGAUAUCUACUUAUGCUAUUGUUUCUCUAUGAUAGAAGUAAAUAAUUAUAAAUAUUAGAAGUAGGAUCUGAACUGAAGAAAGUGAGAAAAAGGAUAGUAAAAGAAAGAGGAGGAGAAGAAAUUUGAAGAGGAAUUGAAAGUAGAAGAUGAAGAAGAAGAAGGAUGAGGAAGAAAGAAAGAGGAGGUAGGUUUAGAAGAGAAAUUGAAAGUAGAGAUGAAGAAAGAAACAGGAAGAGGUAGAAUUAGAAGAGGAAUUGAAAGUGGAAGAUGAAGAAGAAGGAGGAAGAAUGAAAGAGGAGGAGAUAGAAUUACAAGCGGAAUUGAAGAUAGAAGAUGAAGAAGGAAGAAAGAAAGAGGUGAAAUAAGAAAAGGAAUUUUGAAAGUAGAAGAUGAAGAAGAAGGAGGAGGAGGAGGUAAAAUUACAAGAGGAAUUGAAGGUAAAAGAUGAAGAGGUAAAAUUAGAAGAGGAAUUGAAAGUGGAAGAUGAAGAAGAAGGAGGAAGAAAGAAAGAGGAGGAGAUAGAAUUACAAGCGGAAUUGAAGAUAGAAGAUGAAGAAGAAGAAGGAAGAAAGAAAGAGGAAGAGGAAAAAUUAGAAGAGGAAUUGAAAGUAAAAGAUGAAGAAGAAGGAGUAUGAAAGAAAGAGGAAGAGGUAGAAUUACAAGAGGAAUUGAAAGUAGAAGAUGAAGAAGAAGGAGGAGGAGGGAAGAAAGAGGAGCAGGGGGUAAAAUUAUAAGAGGAAUUUUGAAAGUAGAAGAUGAAGAAUGAAAAAAGAAAGAGAAGGUAGAAUUACAAGAGGAAUUGAAAGUAGAAGAUGAAGAAGAAGAAGAAGGAGGAGGUAAGAAAGAGGAGCAGGGGGUAAAAUUAGAAGAGGAAUUUUGAAAGUAGAAGAUGAAGAAGGAAAAAAGAAAGAGAAUGUAGAAUUACAAGAGGAAUUGAAAGUAGAAGAUGAAGAAGAAGAAGAAGGAGGAGGUAAGAAAGAGGAGCAGGGGGUAAAAUUAGAAGAGGAAUUUUGAAAGUAGAAGAUGAAGAAGGAAAAAAGAAAGAGAAUGUAGAAUUACAAGAGGAAUUGAAAGUAAAAGAUGAAGAAAAAGGAGGAGGGAAGAAAGAGGAGCAGGGGGUAAAAUUAGAAGAGGAAUUUUGAAAGUAGAAGAUGAAGAAGGAAAAAAGAAAGAGAAGGUAGAAUUACAAGAGGAAUUGAAAGUAGAAGAUGAAGAAGAAGAAAGAGGAAGAAAGAAAUAGGAAGAGGACGUAGAAUUACAAGAGGAAUUGAAAGUAGAAGAUGAAGAAGAAGAAAGAGGAAGAAAGAAAUAGGAGGAGGACGUAGAAUUACAAGAGGAAUUGAAAUUAGAAGAUGUUGAAGAAGAAAUAGAUAGAAAUAAAAACUGGAGUGAUAAAAAAACAGAUGAAAAAUAUUACUAUAAAUCAAUCAAGACUUCUUAAAAUCUUCCAAAUAAUGAUGUUAAGUAUAGUGGGUUUCACUGCAAACAGUCAGCUUUUCUUAUUUAAUAUUUUCAAUGGCGUCCCAUUACUUUAAUACUGACAUGUUGAAGUGGACCUCACUUUGGUUGUUUACUAUAUAGUUGAAAUUUGUUAUUGAAAAUAAAUGAAUGUUUAUUUUUAGGUAUAUUAGACAUAAAUAUUAUGUGAUCUUCAAAGUUUCAAAUUCAUUAAAACUAAAGCUUUGAAUAAAAAA